rnacentral:rRNA from 1 species
UGGCGGACGGGUGAGUAAUGUCUGGGAAACUGCCCGAUGGAGGGGGAUAACUACUGGAAACGGUAGCUAAUACCGCAUAACGUCGCAAGACCAAAGAGGGGGACCUUCGGGCCUCUUGCCAUCGGAUGUGCCCAGAUGGGAUUAGCUAGUAGGUGGGGUAACGGCUCACCUAGGCGACGAUCCCUAGCUGGUCUGAGAGGAUGACCAGCCGCACUGGAACUGAGACGCGGUCCAG